rnacentral:rRNA from 1 species
UACAGAGGGGGCUAGCGUUGUUCGGAAUUACUGGGCGUAAAGCGCGUGUAGGCGGUUAUGCAAGUCGGGUGUGAAAGCCCGGAGCUCAACUCCGGAAGUGCAUUCGAUACUGCGUAGCUAGAGUACUGGAGAGGAUGGUGGAACUCUCGGUGUAGAGGUGAAAUUCGUAGAUAUCGAGAGGAACACCUGCGGCGAAGGCGGGUUGCUGGGCUGACACUGACGCUGAUGCGCGAAAGCUAGGGGAGCGAACGGG